GGUUGAUGACCAGCGGCAGGGCCAUGGUGUGUACACAUACCCCAAUGGAGACACAUAUGAUGGAGAACGGCUGCACCAUCAGAGACAUGGGCAGGGUACAUACAGACAUCACAACACAGGUUCUCAGUACAUGGGCACAUGGAUCAUGGGUAAAAUGGAGUCAGCUGGGGAACUGAUCCAUCAGAACCACAGAUAUAGGGGCAACUUCGUCAAUACUAAUCCGUCUGGUCCAGGGAAGUAUGUGUUUGACAUUUGGCAUGGAGAGUAUCUCC